UACGGAGGGGGUUAGCGUUGUUCGGAAUGACUGGGCGUAAAGCGCGCGUAGGCGGACCAUCAAGUCGGGGGUGAAAUCCCGGGGCUCAACCCCGGAAUGGCCUUCGAGACUGGUGGUCUUGAGUUCGAGAGAGGUGAGUGGAAUUCCGAGUGUAGAGGUGAAAUUCGUAGAUAUUCGGAGGAACACCAGUGGCGAAGGCGGCUCACUGGCUCGACACUGACGCUGAGGUGCGAAAGCAUGGGGAGCGAACAGG
rnacentral:rRNA from 1 species